UGUACUGUUGGUUAUGUGCCGUUUUAUGAGUCUUACACAACCUGCCAAUAUGAUGGAAAAUGGACAGCCGUGGUCUUUGAGUGUAUACACCAGUGCAUCGCAAGCGGCAAUACUAUAGUAGGCAGCAGCUGGUGUUAUUUCUUCGGCAAUGAUUUCAAAGUAACCUACAAUGGCGCAAAGAGUCAGUGUGCAGCCAGAGGAAUGGUCGUGCCAAUAAUUGAUACCCAGCAGGAAUGGAAUGCCGUGGUGCCCCAUCUAGUUGACUUUAGGGGUUACUGGAUUGGUGCUUAUGCUGUGUACUCUCCCUGGCCACACAGAACAUGGUACUGGUAUAAUGGUCAGCGAGUUUCUUAUCAACCAUGGAAACCUGGUCAGCCCGACAAUCUUUUGUUACAACAAAUGAACGUCCAGGCGGGAAACCGAGGUUGGGACGAUGAGAAGAAUUGGGCGAAUAGAUAUUUCAUGUGCGAGAUAAAUUUUUAAUCAUUUUUGAGAAACAGGGAACUUCCAUUGGAUUUUAUAUUUGUUUAACACAUGUUUUGUACAAAAAACAAUUAUAUGACCUUUUUCAUCAUUUGUAGAUGGACAUAAAAAAAACAGAAAAUAUCCUAUGUAAAUUAAUUCCAAUGGGAAUAACCUUAAGAUUAAGAUUUUUUUAAGAAAACAGAAUUAGAAUAGCAUCCAAUACACGCCAUUCAACUGUCAUAUUUUCACGUUUUCACUUUUAACAUCUUCAACAUCUUCUCCAAAACAACAGGGUCAACUUCAAACAAACUCCUAGGCUAAGGGGAUUCAAAGUCAUGAAAAUUAAGGAUCACGUCCUUUUGUAAAGGGAGAUAAUUGAGUUAUUUAAACUUUUCGAGAAAUUUUCAAAAAUCUUCUUCUCACAAACCAUUAGGCCAGGAUAGCUGAAACUUUUGACAAAGCAUCCUCAGGUAGUGUAGAUUCAAACUUGUGAAAAUCAUGACCUUUGGGGGUAGGGUGGGGCCACAUUGGGGGUUGACGUUUUACAAAGGAAUAUGAAGAGUAAAUCUUUUAAAAAAAUUUCUCAGAAAGCAAUCAGCCAGAAAAGCUGAAACUUGGGUAAAAGUCUCAUCAGGUAGUUUAGAUUCAAAAUUGUGAAAAUCAUGACCCUUGGGGGUAGGUGGGGCUACAAUGGGGGGCGGGGCGAAUUUUUACAUGGGAAUAUAUAGAGUAAAUCUUUAAAAAUCUUCUGAGAAACCAUUAUGUCAGGAAAUCUGCAACUUGUAUGGAAGCACUCUCAGGUAGUGAAAAUUCAAAGUUGUGAAAAUCAUGACCCUCGGGGGUUCGGUGGGGCCACAAUGGGGGUCGACUUUUUAAAUAUUUAUAUAUAUUUUUAUAAAAAUCUUCUCAAGAACCAUUUGGACAGGAAAGCUGAAACUUUUUGGAAGCAUCGUCAGGUAGUGAGAUUUCAAGUUUAUUCAGAUCAUGAUUCCCGGAUAUAGGAUGGGGUCACAAGGGGGGGGGGAGGACCAAUUUUUACAUAAGAAUAUAUAGAAAAAUAUCU